GCCGGAGUGGUGGAACUGGCAGACGCGCGGGACUCAAAAUCCCGUGGCCGCAAGGCCGUGAGGGUUCGACCCCCUCCUCCGGCACCA
rnacentral:tRNA from 1 species